rnacentral:lncRNA from 1 species
AAUCUGCUGCCAUUAAUCAAAUAAUACAAUAUUAAUAAAAUAACUAUAAUCCUUCAUUGAAAAUGAUUAUUUCUACAGCAGAGAGAUUGAAUCUCUUCUCGUGUUGCAUUGUUAACACUAGCAGUAAAUACAGCAGCAGCUCUGUGUCAGUUGUCGUUCAUGCCGUCAUGUAAUGAGGAUGUGUUGUUGUGUUGCAGAGAACGAUCCAGCUGUGGUUUACUCUGCAGUGAGACGAGCAGAAGACGUCAGUUAUGGACAAGUUGUCCUCAAAGACAAGAAGACAAAGAGGACCAGAGAGAAUGAUCCAGCUGUGGUUUACUCUGCAGUGAGACCAGCAGAAGACGUCAGUUAUGGACAAGUCGUCUUCAAAGACAAGAAGACAAAGAGGACCAGAGGUACAGCUGCUCUAUAUUUAUGAACCAGCUUUGGACAGCCCGGCUCCAGUCUUUGAACAUGAGUAAUCUUCUAUCAGCUAACAUUAGCAUGCUAAUUCCCACUGUCCCACAUCCUGAGUCCGGCAGAUGAACCUCAAGAACCUCAGCCUACAAGAAAAAUGGAGACUCUGUCCCUUCCUGUAGAGGGUGUUGGUGUUCUUUACCCAGUCCAGUUUAUUAUCAAUGUGGACCCCCAGAUAUUUAUAAUCCUCUACAUACACACUGACUGACUGGAUGGAAACAGGGGUAAAUGGCACCUUGUUCCUCCUCAGGUCCACAACCAGUCCUUGGUCUUUGUCAAACUGAGCUGUAGAUGCUUCAGCCCACACCAUGUGACAAAGUUGUCCACAGUAGUCCUGUACUCCUCCUCAGCACCCUCACUGAUACAUCCAACUAUUGCUGAGUCAUCCGAGAGCUUCUGGAGAUGACAGGUCUCUGUGCAGUAGUUGAAGUCUGUGGUGUAGAGGGUAAAGAGGAAGGGAGAGAGGAGAGUCCCCUGUGGGGCCUCGGAGUUGCU